CCUACGGGUGGCAGCAGUGGGGGAUAUUGCACAAUGGAGGAAACUCUGAUGCAGCGACGCCGCGUGAGGGAAGACGGUCUUCGGAUUGUAAACCUCUGUCUGUGGGGAAGAAAAUGACGGUACCCAAAGAGGAAGCUCCGGCUAACGACGUGCCAGCAGCCGCGGUAAUACGUAGGGAGCGAGCGUUGGCCGGAAUUACUGGGUGUUAAGGGAGCGGAGGCGGGCGAGAAAGUUGAAUGUUAACUCUACCGGCUUAACUGGUAGCUGCGUUCCAAACUUCUUGUCUUGAGGGAAGUAGAGGCAGGCGUACUUCCUCGUGUCGCGGUUCAAUGCGUAGAUCUUAGGAGGAACCCCAGUGGCGCAGGCGGCCUGCUGGGCUUUACCUGCCGCUGCGGCUCGACAGCGUGGGGAGCACACAGGAUUCGAUACCCGUGUAGUC
rnacentral:rRNA from 1 species